GACGAGCCACACGAACGUUUAUUCGGAAUUACGUAGGGCUUAAGGUGCGUAGGCUGCGCGGAAAGUUGGGUGUGAAAUCCCUCGGCUCAACCGAGGAACUGCGCCCAAAACUACCGUGCUCGAGGAAGAUAGAGGUAAGCGGAACUUACGGUGGAGCGGUGAAAUGCGUUGAUAUCGUAAGGAACACCUGUGGCGAAAGCGGCUUACUGGGUCUUUUCUGGACGCUGAUGCACGAAAGCUAGGGGAGCAAACGGG
rnacentral:rRNA from 1 species